AUACGUAGGGUGCGAGCGUUGUCCGGAAUUACUGGGCGUAAAGAGCUCGUAGGUGGUUUGUCGCGUCGUCUGUGAAAUUCCGGGGCUUAACUCCGGGCGUGCAGGCGAUACGGGCAUAACUUGAGUACUGUAGGGGAGACUGGAAUUCCUGGUGUAGCGGUGAAAUGCGCAGAUAUCAGGAGGAACACCGGUGGCGAAGGCGGGCCUCUGGGCAGUAACGGACGCUGAGGAGCGAAAGCAUGGGUUGCGAACAGGAUUAGAUUCCCUGGUAGUCCAGGCCGUAAACGGGGGGCGCUAGGUGUAGGGGUCUUCCACGACUUCUGUGCCGUAGCUAACGCAUUAAGCGCCCCGCCUGGGGAGUACGGCCGCAAGGCUAAAGCUCAAAGGAAUUGACGGGG
rnacentral:rRNA from 1 species